rnacentral:miRNA from 1 species
AUCAACGUUUCAGUCCUCUCAGGGAUUUUCAUCAGCAUCAAAUAAAUAAUAGUUUAUUUGAUCCUGAUGAAUGUCUCUGAGAGGACUGAAACGU